rnacentral:rRNA from 1 species
AGUGAACGCUGGCGGUAGGCCUAACACAUGCAAGUCGAACGGCAGCACAGUAAGAGCUUGCUCUUACGGGUGGCGAGUGGCGUACGGGUGAGGAAUACAUCGUAAUCUACUUUUUCGUGGGGGAUAACGUAGGGAAACUUACGCUAAUACCGCAUACGACCUACGGGUGAAAGCAGUGGAUCUUCGGACCUUGCGCGAUUGAAUGAGCCGAUGUCGGAUUAGCUAGUUGGCGGGGUAAAGGCCCACCAAGGCGACGAUCCGUAGCUGGUCUGAGAGGAUGAUCAGCGACACUGGAACUGAGACACGGUCCAGACUACUACGGGAGGCAGCAGUGGGGAAUAUUGGACAAUGGGCGCAAGCAUGAUCCAGCCAUACCGCGUGGGUGAAGAAGGCCUUCGGGUUGUAAAGACCUUUUGUUGGGAAAGAAAAGCAGCAGGUUAAUACCACGCUGUUCUGACGGUACCCAAAGAAUAAGCACCGGCUAACUUCGUG